UACGAAGGGGGCUAGCGUUGCUCGGAAUCACUGGGCGUAAAGCGCACGUAGGCGGAUUCUUAAGUCAGGGGUGAAAUCCUGGAGCUCAACUCCAGAACUGCCUUUGAUACUGAGGGUCUUGAGUUCGGGAGAGGUGAGUGGAACUGCGAGUGUAGAGGUGAAAUUCGUAGAUAUUCGCAAGAACACCAGUGGCGAAGGCGGCUCACUGGCCCGAUACUGACGCUGAGGUGCGAAAGCGUGGGGAGCAAACA
rnacentral:rRNA from 1 species